rnacentral:rRNA from 1 species
GAUGAACGCUGGCGGCGUGCCUAAUACAUGCAAGUAGAGCGAACAAAAGAGGAGCUUGCUCCUCUGACGUUAGCUGCGGACGGGUGAGUAACACGUGGAUAACCUACCUAUAAGACUGGGAUAACUUCGGGAAACCGGAGCUAAUACCGGAUAAUAUAUUGAGCCGCAUGGUUCAAUAGUGAAAGACGCUUUUGCUGUACCUCAUAGAUGGCUCCGGGCCGAAUAAGCUAUAGGGUAGGGUAAGGGCUUACUAAGGGAACGAUGCGUAGCCGACCUAGGAGGGUGAUCGGCCACACUGGAACUGGACAACGGUCCAGACUCCUACGGGAGGCGGAAGUAGGGAAUCUUCGGCAAUGGGCGAAAGCCUGACGGAGCAACGCGGCGGGAGUGAUGAAGGUCUUCGGAUCGUAAAACUCGGUUAUUAGGGAAGAACAAAUGUGUAAGUAACUAUGCACGUCUUGACGGUACCUAAUCAGAAAGCCACGGCUAACUACGUG